rnacentral:rRNA from 1 species
CAUAAUCAUUAGUUUUUUAAUUGGGGGCUUGUAUGAAAGAUUGAACAAGAGAAAAACUGUUUCUGUUAUAAAAUUUGAAUUUAACUUUUAAGUUAAAAGGCUUAAAUAAUCUAGAGGGACGAUAAGACCCUAUAAAUCUUUAUAUAAAAAGAAAAUUAAUUUAUAUAGGUUGUAAAAUUAAAGUUUGUAUUAUAUUUAAUUGGGGCGAUAGAAUUAUAAAUUUAAGUAACUAGUUAUAAAUAUAGACAAGUUGUUUGAAUAUUAGUUGAUCUUAAUUAGGAAAUAAUAGAUUAAGUUACUUUAGGGAUAACAGCAUAAUUUCUUUUAAAAGUUCAUAUUGAAGAAGAAGAUUGUGACCUCGAUGUUUAAUUAGAAUUUCUUUAUAGUGCAGCAGCUAUAAGAG